AUUGAACGCUGGCGGCAGGCCUAACACAUGCAAGUCGAACGAGUGGCGGACGGGUGAGUAAUGUCUGGGAAACUGCCUGAUGGAGGGGGAUAACUACUGGAAACGGUAGCUACUCCCGCAUACCAUCAGAUGUGCCCAGAUGGGAUUAGCUUGUUGGUGGGGUAACGGCGCACCAAGUCGACGAUCCCUAGCUGGUCUGAGAGGAUGACCAGUCACACUGGAAAUGGGACACGGUCCAGACUCCGACGGGAGGCAGGCGUGGGGAAUAUUGCACAGGUGGCGCAAGCCUGAUGCAGCCAUGCCGCGUGUAUGAAGAAGGCCUUCGGGUUGUAAAGUACUUUCAGCGGGGAGGCGUUACCCGCAGAAGAAGCACCGGCUAACUCCGUGCCAGCAGCCGCGGUAAUAC
rnacentral:rRNA from 1 species